rnacentral:lncRNA from 1 species
ACUUGAGCCCAGGAGUUUGAAGCUGCAGUGACCCCAGAUUGCACCACUGUCCUCCAGCCUGGGCAAUAGAGCAAGACCCUUUCUCAAAAAUGAAAAAGAACAUUCUGGAGAGACAGAGAAGCAAGAGGGACCAGAAAGGGUAAGCGUGAGCCAGGUGGGGUGGGAGGACAGGCAGCCUACCUCGGGGCACAGCCAGGCCCUCCUGCCUGGCUCUCCAGGCCUUUCCAGAAUCCCCAUUUCCCUCCCAGACCCCAGGGUGCCUCAGACAAGAAAGGUCUCAAGGGCUUCUUUCCUCCCCACUCGGCCCCCUCAAGUCUUGCUCAGACCUAGAGAGGAAGUGGUGGGUGAAGAAAUGAGAACCUCCCCUCCCACUGGCUCCCCUGCGUGUGUCUCCCCCACCGCCUGCCGCCAGCACCUCCGCUGGCCCCUUGAGGCUCCUUCGCCCCUCACCAUUCUCCUCGGACUUGAUCUUGCUCUCAUAGGCUCCACGGAAUCUGCUGCCGGGCCGGGCCGGGCCAGGCCUCCGGAGGCGCCUCUGCACCCCUCCUGGGCUCCCCAGCUUUGCCCAGGCUCUGGCCUGUCUCUAUCUCUCGUUUGUCUCUGCACACCUCUCUGUCCCCCACAUCCUCCAUCUGCAGGGGGCCUCCUGCACCCCUCAACUCACCUUGGGUCAGUCCCUGGGCUCCUCUCCCUCCUAGAGCCACUCUUCCUGGUGCUGGACUAAGAGGUGCAGGCUUGGAGGGUGCAGGGCGGUCCGCCUCUCAGACGUAGAGGCCCGGCCUCGGAUGAAGGCGGAAGGGAGGGCACCGCCUGUUGCUGGGCAACUGUGCCCCAACUCGUCUGCCCCUGGGGAGUGUUUGUUUCCAAAGCAACCCAAGGGGAUGUGGUCACUGCGGUGAGGAGGCUUUUCCUGGGGUAAGGUGGGGCUGGAAUGGGCAAUGGUUCUGUUGAACUUAGUGUCACCCCAUAGCCAGGCCCUGAGCCCCAGAACAUUCACCGAAAAGCUGAGAAAGAGGACGCCGGGGCCAGGCACAGUGGCUCACCCCUGUAAUCCCAGCAUUUUGGGAGGUCAAGGUGGGCAAGUCACCUGAGGUCAGGAGUUCGAGACCAGCCUGCCAACAUGGCGAAACCCCAUCUCUACUGAAAAAUACAAAAAUUAGCUGGGCAUGGUGACGGGCACUUGUAAUCUCAGCUGCUCAGGCGGCUGAGGCAGGGAGAAUCGCUUGAACCCGGGACUCGGAGGUUGCAGUGAGCUGAGAUCGUGCCACCACACUCCAGCCUGGGCAACAGAGUGAGACUCCGUCUUAAAAAAAAAGAAAAGAAAAGAAAAGAAAAAGAAAUAGGACACUGGGACUUUAGCCCGUACAUUCCCAGAGAACCAUGGUGCCUCCCCCGUUCCUCCUGGGAGGAUGCCCCACCCCAUCCUGCCUUGUCUUAUCCACGGUGCCUCCCCAGAUCUGCUCCUGCCAUGCAGCCCCCACAGGCACCCCCUGCUUGGCCAGCUUGCUUCACACCUUUUUUUUUUUUUUCUGGUAGAGAUGGGCUCUUGCUAUGUUGCCCAGGCUGGUCUCAAGCUCCUGGCCUCAAGAGAUCCUCCUGCCUCAGCCUCCCAAAGUGCUGGGAUUACAGGUGUGAGCUACCACACUGGCCCCUGCCUCAUACUUUUAAUUAACAUAAGUCUCUCUCUCUUCAGACCAUUUAGCCCCCAUUUUGGUUGGAAAAUAUCAGUGAGGUGAGGCUUGGGUAACAAAAAUGUCAAGCCUCUGAGAGGAGUCCAGGGUAUAAAAACAGGCGUGGGCCUGUUUCCAAAACCCUGACCAUCCUCAUGUCUGUCCCUCUUUCCUGCUGCUGAGGGUGGGAGGAGCCUGGAGCAGAGUGUGACAAGAUGUCAUCAGGCUCUGGAGUCCAGGUGACUUUCUGAGAUUCUCUAGUUUGACUCAUCCACAGAUGACAAAAGUAAGGCUUAAAGAAAAGAGAUUUCAUGACCAAAGUCGCAUGACCAAUGUAUGUGUGGGUGAGCAUGUAGUGGCCAGGGUGGUGGAAGAAUAGAUAGAAAUCCCUGGGCUGGGCGAGGUGGCUCAUGCCUGUAAUCCCAGCACUUUGGGAGACCGAGGCGGGUGGAUCACCUGAGGUCAGGAGUUUGGGAGCAGCCUGGCCAACAUGGCAAAACCCCGUCUCUACUAAAAAUACAAAAAUUAGCCGGGCGUGGUGCCGCACGCCUAUGACCCCAACUACUCAGGAGGCUGAGGCAGGAGAAUCGCUUGAACCCGGUGCAGUGAGCCGAGAUCGUGCCAUUCCACUCCAGCCUGGGCAACAGAGCGAGACUCUGUCUCAAAAUAAAUAAAUUAAAUAAAUAAAUGAAUGAAAAGACAGUCUCCGUCAGACUGCCCCAUCCUGGUGGUUUUGAGCCCUGCUGGGAGGAGCUGGAGAUGGAGAGUCCGGGGGAAACCGCCUUUGCAAAGAAAGAGAUCUAACUUAACUGACUCCACCUUGCUUCUAACCUCCAAGCUGUCUUUGUUUAUUCCUGGGCGUAGGCUGAACUAACUUUGGGAGAAACUUAGUUUGUAGUUUAUAGUUUAAACAAAGACAGUAACAGCCCUUUCCCAAAGCAGACCUUCUUGCCUGGGGACUAGACUAACACUAGCCAUAGGAUUAGAAAUUAUGGUUUAGGAGUCAUGCAGCUGGAGGCUACAAGAUUCUGACCCUCCCUAAACUGCUCCUAACAUCAGUGCUUGAGAUAUUUUGCAGACCCUGCACUUGAUGGAUCAGCUGGCACCACCCAGAUCAAUAAACUGGCUCAUCUGAUCUUGUGGCCCCCACCCAGAACUGACUCUGCAAGAAGACAGCUCUGACUCCUGAUGAUUUCAUCUCUGACCAAUCUGCACUCCCAGAUCCCAGCACUUUGGGAGGACCAGACAGGCAGAUCACAAGGUCAGGAUGAGAGGUGACAGCGUGCUGGCAGCCCUCACUCACUCUGGGCGCCUCCUCGGCCUCCACGCCAACUCUCCCUGCGCUUGAGGAGCCCUUCAGCCCGCCGCUGCACUGUGGGAGCCCCUCUCUGGGCUGGCCGAGGCGGGAGCCCGCUCCCUCUGCUUGCCAGAGGUGUGGAGGGAGAGGCGCGGACGGGAACUGGGGCUGCGGGCCACGCUCGAGGGCCAGCAUGAGUUCCGGGUGGGCGUGGGCUCGGUGGGCCCCGCACUCAGAGAGGCCGGCUGGCGCCAUUGGCCCCAGGCAGUGAGGGGCUUAGCACCCAGACCAGCAGCUGCAGAGGGUGCGCCAGGUCCCCCAGCAGUGCCAGCCCACAGGUGCACUUGAAUUCUCGCAGGCCUCAGCUGCCUCCCCACGGGGCAGGGCUUGGGACCUGCAGCCCGCCAUGCCCAAGCGUCCCCCUGCCUGGGCUCCUGCACCGCCCCCUGCUCUGCGGGGCCUGGUCCCAUCAACCGCCCAAGGGCUGAGGAGUGCAGGCACAGGAUUGGUGGGCAGCUCCACCUGCAGCCCAGGUGCUAGGUCCACUAGGUGAAGCCAGCUGGGCUCUUGAGUCUAGUGGGCACUUGGAGAACCUUUAUGUCUAGCUAAGGGAUUGUAAAUACACCAAUCAGCACUCUGUGUCUAGCUCAAGGUUUGUAAACACACCAAUCAGCACCCUGUCAAAAUGGACCAAUCAGCUCUCUAUAAAACAGACCAGUUGGCUCUCUGUAAAAUGGGCCAAUCAGCAGGAUGUGGGUGGGGCCAGAUAAGGCAAUAAAAGCAGGCUGCCAGAGCCAGCAGUGGCAACUCGGCGUACCCUUCCACAUAGGAAGCUUUGUUCUUUUGAUCUUUCCAAUAAAUCUUGCUGCUGCUUAUCCUGGGUCUGCACUGCCUUUAUGAGCUGUAACAUCGUGAAGGUCUGCAGCUUCACGCCAGAGGCCAGCGAGACCACGAACCCACCAGAAGGAAGAAACUCGGAACACGUCCGAACAUCAGAAGGAACAAACUCCGGACAUGCCGCCUUUAAGAACUGAAACACUCACCGUGAGGGUCCGCAGCUUCAUUCUUGAAGUCAGUGAGACCAAGAACCCGCCAAUUCUGGACACAAGGAGAUCGAGACCAUCCUGGCUAACACGGUGAAACCCCAUCUCUACUAAAAAUACAAAAAAUUUAUUAGGCGUGUUGGCGGAUGCCUGUAGUCCCAGCUAGUCCCAGCUACUCCCAGCUACUUGGGAGGCUGAGGCGGGAGAAUGGCAUGAACCUGGGAGGCGGAGCUUGCAGUGAGCCGAGAUUGCGCCACUGCCCUCAAGCCUGGGCGACAGAGCAAGACUCCAUCUCAAAAAAACAAAACAAAAACAAACAAAAAAACCCUCUGUUUCCCGAAUGCUCAGGGAGACUGAUUUGAGUAAUAAUAAAACUCCUGGCUGGACACAGUGGCUCACGCCUGUAAUUUCAGCAAUUUGGGAGGCCAAGGCCGGUGGAUCACCUUAGGUUGGGAGUUUGAGACCAGCGUGACCAACAUGGAGAAAACACUGUCUCUACUAAAAAUACAAAAUUAGCCAGGUGUGGUGGCAAGUGCCUGUAAUCCCAGCUACUCAGGAGGCUGAGGCAGGAGAAUCACUUAAACCCUGGAGGCGGAGGUUGCAGUGAGCCGAGGUGGCACCAUUGUACUCCAGCCUGGGCAAAAAGAGCAAAACCGUCAAAAAAAAAAAAAAAAAAAAAAAAAAAACUCCGGUCUCCUGCACAGCUGGCUCUGUGUGAAUUACUCUUUAUUGCAAUUUUGCUGUCUUGAUGAAUCGGCUAUGUGUAGGCAGCGGGCAAGGUGAACCCCUUUGGCAGUUACAGGGGGAAGCUAAGGCUCAGGACACUCGCAGAAACCUGAGGAGGCUAGAAUUUUACCAGAUUACAAGCCUUAAAAUCAAACCUGAAGUUAGUGCCAGCGAACAACACGCUUAAAAAUAACUAAGAUGUUCUUUCUGGCUGUUCUAGAGGUCAAUAUAGAAAAAUGAUAGUAACUUUGAUGUUAUUUUAUGUUAUGUAUUUCUUUUUUUCUUUUGAGACGGAGUCUGUCUCUGUUGCCCAGGCUGGAGUGCGGUGACGCAAUCUUGGCUCACUGCAACCUCCGCCUCCCGGGUUCAAGAUAUUCUUCUGCUUCAGCCAUCCAAGUAGCUGGGAUUACAGGUGUGUACCACCGUGCCUGGCAGUUAUGUGUGUUUCCCUACAAUCAAACAAUGAUUUAUUGUAAAAAAAAAAAAAAUCAAAAUAAACAAAACCUGAAAACUUG